ensembl:lncRNA
AAGAUAAACUCCAACCAAGCAACGAGGAAGACUAAUUGGUGAUCAGGCUCCCACGUCUAAGGAGGGCUUGUGUUUGGAUGGUAUCCUGCAAACUAUUUCUCAGUUUAAAUGGAAAUUUAGACGGAGAUGUCUUGGCAAACAAUUCCAGGUGCAAGAAGAAACUAGCGUGCGAACAAUAGAAAAUCUGCAAAGGGAUGGAGGGGGCAGAGAAGUGAUGAAAGACAUUCAGGACAAACAGUCCAAAGGAACUGAAUAUAUUGGAACAAAACCUCUGAGGUGUUGAAAGAAUCUUACUAAGCCAACUCUGAAGAAGAAAGUCCAGGAAUGCAAUUACUCCAGCCCUGAGGAGUAAAUACCUAAAAUGAGAAGCCAGACAGAAAGCAAACCAGAAUAAAGACUUAAAUUAAUGGAAGCACCCCCAACAAGUCACCUUUUUCUUCUCAUAUUUUCUUGGUGAUAUUUUAGCUGUCUUUUCCCAAACGUGCAAUUAUCACAGCAGAACGAAGUGAGAAAUGAAAUGGUAAUGUGCGCACCCCAGAGUGGAUGAGUGCAAACCCAGAAAUCGAGGGCUAAAGGACAGUUGCUAGGCACAGGCUCUGCUGGUCACCCGGGUGGACCGUCAUGUGGGAAAUUCAACAAGUCUUUGAAAGACUGAGCCUUAGAAAACUGCUUUGAAUCAUUUCAUCCUAAGCAAAACAAACGACUAUUCCUCAGUGUCAACAGCAACAGCAAAUCUACAGUAAGCUAGAGUCCUUUCGUUGUGGGAAGGCAAAGUGGAAUGUCCAGGUGAUGACUCCCUGUGUGUUGAUGCUGGAGACGUGGCAUUAAGCAAGCUGAAUAAGGGCCCUCCAGCAGAAUGGAGAAGACAGAGGUUGGACUGGAGCCGUGAGUGUUACAAACAUGAGCAAAGCAAGCCCUUGGUGUGUGUAACUGAGGGACCAAAACUCACAGAGG